rnacentral:rRNA from 1 species
UACAGAGGUCCCAAGCGUUGUUCGGAUUCAUUGGGCGUAAAGGGUGCGUAGGCGGCGCGGUAAGUCGGGUGUGAAAUCUCGGAGCUUAACUCCGAAACUGCAUUCGAUACUGCCGUGCUUGAGGACUGGAGAGGAGACUGGAAUUUACGGUGUAGCGGUGAAAUGCGUAGAGAUCGACAAGAACACCGGUGGCGAAGGCGGGUCUCUGGACAGUUCCUGACGCUGAGGGACGAAAGCUAGGGGAGCAAACAGG